rnacentral:rRNA from 1 species
GAUGGACGCUGGCGGCGUGCCUAAUACAUGCAAGUCGAGCGAACGGACGAGAAGCUUGCUUCUCUGAUGUUAGCGGCGGACGGGUGAGUAACACGUGGAUAACCUACCUAUAAGACUGGGAUAACUUCGGGAAACCGGAGCUAAUACCGGAUGAUAUUUUGAACCGCAUGGUUCAAAAGUGAAAGACGGUCUUGCUGUCACUUAUAGAUGGAUCCGCGCUGCAUUAGCUAGUUGGUAAGGUAACGGCUUACCAAGGCAACGAUGCAUAGCCGACCUGAGAGGGUGAUCGGCCACACUGGAACUGAGACACGGUCCAGACUCCUACGGGAGGCAGCAGUAGGGAAUCUUCCGCAAUGGGCGAAAGCCUGACGGAGCAACGCCGCGUGAGUGAUGAAGGUCUUCGGAUCGCAAAACUCUGUUAUUAGGGAAGAACAUAUGUGUAAGUAACUGUGCACAUCCUGACGGUACCUAAUCAGAAAGCCACGGCUAACUACGUG